GUUAGGGAGGGGAGGAAAUAGCUAGUGCUGUUGGGGUAGUAGGCUAUGAACUGAGAGUUAACAAGUUGCCUAUCAAGCUUCUUUGCAAUUGGCAUCUCAGGCUGGUGAUUUGACCAUGUAUACUGAGGUCCUUGAAAACGAAGGUCGUGCACACCAAUUUGACGUAUGCAAUCAAUGAACUCAGUCAUCUGCGGAGUGACAGUGUUUACCUCACGAAGAGAGUGUUCAGAGUGAUGAGUU
rnacentral:lncRNA from 1 species